rnacentral:tRNA from 1 species
GGCCCCUUGGCGGAACCGGUAGACGCAGCGGACUUAAAAUCCGCUGGCCCGAUCGGGCCGUCCGGGUUCGACUCCCGGAGGGGCCACCA